GAUGAACGCUGGCGGCGUGCCUAAUACAUGCAAGUCGAACGCUGGAAAUCUAGCUUGCUAGAUUGAAGGAGUGGCGAACGGGUGAGUAAUACAUAAGCAACCUACCCACGAAGACUGGGAUAAUCUCUGGAAACGGGGACUAAUACCGGAUAGGUAAUCGGAAGGCAUCUUCUGAUUAUUAAAGGUUAAAAACACUGGUGGAUGGGCUUAUGGCGCAUUAGUUAGUUGGUGAGGUAACGGCCCACCAAGACGAUGAUGCGUAGCCGGCCUGAGAGGGUGAACGGCCACAUUGGGACUGGGACACGGCCCAGACUCCUACGGGAGGCAGCAGUAGGGAAGUUUCGGCAAUGGGGGAAAACCUGACCGAGCAACGCCGCGUGAGUGAUGACGGCCUUCGGGUUGUAAAGCUCUGUUGUAAGGGAAGAACGGUAGAUAGAGAAUAUCUAAAUGACGGUACCUUACCAGAAAGCCACGGCUAACUACGUG
rnacentral:rRNA from 1 species